ACCACUCGAUUACGACCUCAGA
rnacentral:rRNA from 1 species